GGAGAGUUUGAUCCUGGCUCAGAUUGAACGCUGGCGGCAGGCCUAACACAUGCAAGUCGAGCGGAAACGAGUUAUCUGAACCUUCGGGGAACGAUAACGGCGUCGAGCGGCGGACGGGUGAGUAAUGCCUAGGAAAUUGCCCUGAUGUGGGGGAUAACCAUUGGAAACGAUGGCUAAUACCGCAUAAUGCCUACGGGCCAAAGAGGGGGACCUUCGGGCCUCUCGCGUCAGGAUAUGCCUAGGUGGGAUUAGCUAGUUGGUGAGGUAAGGGCUCACCAAGGCGACGAUCCCUAGCUGGUCUGAGAGGAUGAUCAGCCACACUGGAACUGAGACACGGUCCAGACUCCUACGGGAGGCAGCAGUGGGGAAUAUUGCACAAUGGGCGCAAGCCUGAUGCAGCCAUGCCGCGUGUGUGAAGAAGGCCUUCGGGUUGUAAAGCACUUUCAGUCGUGAGGAAGGUAGUGUAGUUAAUAGCUGCAUUAUUUGACGUUAGCGACAGAAGAAGCACC
rnacentral:rRNA from 1 species